rnacentral:rRNA from 1 species
UACGAAGGGGGCUAGCGUUGCUCGGAAUCACUGGGCGUAAAGCGUGCGCAGGCGGUUGUGCAAGACAGAUGUGAAAUCCCCGGGCUCAACCUGGGAAUUGCAUUUGUGACUGCACGGCUAGAGUGUGUCAGAGGGGGGUAGAAUUCCACGUGUAGCAGUGAAAUGCGUAGAGAUGUGGAGGAAUACCGAUGGCGAAGGCAGCCCCCUGGGAUAACACUGACGCUCAUGCACGAAAGCGUGGGGAGCAAACAGG